UUGACCUCGGAUCAGGUAGGAUUACCCGCUGAACUUAAGCAUAUCAAUAAGCG
rnacentral:rRNA from 1 species